rnacentral:lncRNA from 1 species
GUGCCUUGAGCCUGAGUCCUCUUCAAAUAAGGAUUUGAGGAAUUAUAAGGAUUUGACUAAGUCAAAAGAUUUGAUUUGGUCAAAGUCUUGUGGGACUUGGACUCCUUGUUGUUAUGAGAUUAGAUCUCAUAAUUAAAGCCCAACAUCCUAUCUAAUUUUGAGCCUUGGGUCAUCACACCAAGAGGGGAUUUCAUGUGGAAAAAAGGGAAGAGAGCGCUAGGUAGUUAAGGAGUAGAAGGACUCUUGUGCACCUUAAGUCCUUUACACCCCUUAUGCUCACGCAAAGAAACAUAUGGCACCAUCCUUUUCUCACGCCCC